rnacentral:lncRNA from 1 species
AAGACAGUUGUUCCAAGGGAGUGGAGUCCAUAGUGUAUAAUUACAAGUCCCUCAGCCAAGGGCAGAUGCUUGAACUAUUUCAGUGCUUUUAUUACUCUCUAGAAUACAGCCAGUGAAAUACUGCUAGUAUACAAGGCUGCAAUUGCCUCUCUUGUUUUCCCUUCUCUUUUUUUUUUUUUUUUCCUUUUGUUCGUCUCCUGGACAGGCAGGGAGAAGGCAAUGCUUUUUCCCUGGAAAUAGCUCAGCAACAGUAUCCUUCAGUGAAAGGAAUUUUCACCUCUGGAAAGUUAACACCAUUUUAAUCCCAGGGCCACGGUUUCAAAAGGUCUUAAAAAACAUAGCAACAAUGCAUUCCAACACUUCCCUCUGAUUAUGAGAAAGCACCCUGCCCUCCAAGCCUAGGCUCCAGCUCAACAGUGCAACUAAAACCCCAGGUGUGAUACAAGAGUCCUGAGUUAUGCCAGAGGCUGCAAUCAGCACACUCAUAUAAUUAAGGUUAAGAAUAAACUUGAAAGAAGUGCUGAAUAUACGUCUUUG